GGCCGGGCCGGGCUGCCGUUGGGGCAGGGCCUCGUAGCUGGGGCGGGCUCCGUGUCGCCGUGAGUGUAGCGCCAGGGGCACCUCGGCCAGCUAAUUUGUAGGGAGGUUCCGUGUGUCUGUCCGUACGAACUGGGUUCGCCUACUUACUGGUUGAUGUGGUCGUCAUGUUUUGUUUCAGGCGAUGUUCGCACAGGAGCAGGAAGUUAGAACGUGUAAAACCAAUUUUUCAGCUGCAUAGAGGUUUUUUCUCCUAAAGCCUUUUGAAACAGAUGAUCUCAUUGUGGACUACCAAAAAACUGCUACCUGUAAAAAAAGAUUUGAGAGUCGACAGUCUAGGGAGGUGAGUCCACGUGAUGGUGACUGGCUUCUGGAGAAACAAAUAAGGAAAGAAGAAAAGAACACUUCUAAACAACACUAAUACAAAGGCAGCAUGGAGGUAAAAAAAAUGAAGAUGAUGUGCCUGAGAAACUCCAACUAAAAACCUAAGUCUAAAUUACUUUUCUGUACAGGGAUCAGAGUAACAUAGUAUAGUCCCAGCUUAAAUGUAGGUCAGCUGGAUUUGUGUUCAGAUAUUUAUGGGUAAACAAGGUAAAUUAAUAAUAUGGUUGUUUGCUUAUCAAGUUGUUUGCCUCAGGAUGUAAAAUAGAACAUUUGUUUAUGUAACACCCAAAACAUUUUGGGGAAGAAAAGCUCCCCUAAUAAACAUCCUAUGUGUAGGAUUACAU